AUGGAUAGCACGCCAUGCCCAAUAAUGAGCUGGAACAUUAGAGGCCUAAACACGCCGGCUCGACGUUCUAUAGUUUGUGAGGCUGCAAGCACGCAUAGGUUAGCUAUUCUCUGUCUCCAGGAGACAAAGAUCGAAAACUGGUCGCCAGCGAUAGCAAAGGAAAUCGGAGGUAGUAGGCUAGAUGAUUGCGCCGUGCUGCCUGCCAUGGGAACACGAGGAGGAAUCGCCAUUUUCUGGAACUCCAACACUGUCUCCAUUCAAACCCACGCAAUAGGCCAGUUCUCCAUCACGGCUAAAGUUAGUUUAAUCGGAGCCCAGGACUACUUCUGGCUGACAACGGUCUACGGGCCAGCAGAUGAGAUUCGCAAGGAUGAUUUCCUUGCCGAAAUCGUUAGGGUAGCUCCCCAGCCAGGAGAGGCCUGGCUGAUUAAUGGCGAUUUCAACAUUAUAUAUGAGGCUAGGGACAAAAGCAAUAGCAACAUCAAUCGUAGGAUCAUCGGCAAGUUUCGAGCGGCCAUUGAUGCAGGGGGCCUUCAUGAGAUCAAAUGCAAGAAUCGCCGCUUCACUUGGAGCAACGAGCGGAGAAACCCGACCCUUGUCAGUAUUGACAAGUUCUUCUGCAUGAUUGCAUGGGAAAGCCUGUUCCCAACGCACCUGCUGCACGCCGCAUCCACCUCGUGCUCCGACCACUGCCCUUUGCUGCUUGCAGCUACGGCAGCCCCUCGACGACGGGCUAGAUUCAGAUUCGAGUCCUUCUGGCCCCAACACCCACACUUCCAUGAGACAGUAGACAGGGCAUGGAAUCGACCUACGACAGAGUGUUGUGCUUUUGCUAGGCUUAACACAAAAAUGAAUAGAGUGGCUAAGGACCUGAAGAUUUAG
rnacentral:rRNA from 1 species